CCUACGGGAGGCAGCAGUGGGGAAUAUUGCACAAUGGACGAAAGUCUGAUGCAGCAACGCCGCGUGGAGGAUGACACAUUUCGGUGCGUAAACUCCUUUUAUAUGAGAAGAUAAUGACGGUAUCAUAUGAAUAAGCACCGGCUAACUCCGUGCCAGCAGCCGCGG
rnacentral:rRNA from 1 species